rnacentral:lncRNA from 1 species
GGUUAUCUCUGGUGUUAGUUGGUCUUGCUGUCUCUGCCUGGUACUUGCACCACCUGUUGGCAUGUAAUCUCAUGUCAUCACUCCUGGGAGAACAGCUUUCUUCUGCCAGGACCUGUGUACAGAGAACUGUGGAACAACCCCAGCUCCUGUGUGCAGGAUAUUGAAGGAGUGUGCUACCUGUCAGAGUGACUGAUGAGACAUGCUGGUGCUGGGACAAAGAAUGAUUCUGACCAUUGGACAAGUUGCCUACCUUCAACCUUAUGGGACAGAGUAUAUGAAGAAAGAGCUUUGGGGCUGCUUCUAGAAACUUGGAAGGAACUUGACAUUGGGCCAGGACAAAGAAGUAAGCUCAGCUGCUUUCCAAAAAUGGAAUUAAACACCUGUAAGGUUCCAGACAUCUUUAAUUCCAGUACUAGGAGCCUGAGAGAAUAGCAUUGUAUGUUCAAGAGGAUUCCUGUUCUUCCAGGUUCUUUGUCACCACUUUUCUUGU